GUUCACUUAGCUUAAUGGUUAGAGCGCUUGAGUUCUAUUUACUUCAAUGCCCAUGCGUUCUACUCAAGUGAUGCGAGUUCGAAUCCCGCAGUGCACA
rnacentral:tRNA from 1 species